GGAGAAAUUCCAAUCGAACCCGGAGAUAGCUGGUUCUCCUCGAAAUAGUUUUAGGACUAGCCUCGUUAUUAGUCUACCGGAGGUAGAGCACUGAAUUUUUGCGGGGGCGUCAAAGCCUACCAAGAGAUAUCAAACUCCGAAUGCCGGCUAGAUGAUUGACGGGAGUCAGACUACACGAGAUAAGUUGGGUAGUCAAAAGGGAAAGAGCCCAGACCUACGGCUAAGGUCCCAAAGUGUGUGUUAAGUGGAAAAGGAUGUGGGAUUUCGAAGACAGCUAGGAUGUUGGCUUAGAAGCAGCCAUACAUUAAAAGAGUGCGUAACAGCUCACUAGUCGAGAGGUCCUGCGCCGAAAAUGUCCGGGGCUAAACACAACACCGAAGCCUGGGAAUGUAGUAAUACAUUGGUAGAGGAGCAUUCUUAGAGGCGUAGAAGCCAUACCGGAAGGAAUGGUGGAGUAAUAAGAAGAGAGAAUGCCGGAAUGAGUAGCGAGAAAGAGGUGAGAAUCCUCUUGGCCGAAUAUCUAAGGUUUCCUGAGUAAAGCUGAUCUACUCAGGGUAAGUCGGGGCCUAAGGCAAGGUCGAAAGACGUAGUCGAUGGAUAACAGGUACAGAUUCCUGUACUACAUAUAAUCAGAACUGUGGGGACACGGAGACUAAAACCGAACCCGGGAGGACAAAAACCGGGGCAAGCGAAGUACCUGUAUGGGAGGAAAAACCACCAUGCAAGGGGAAUGCGUGAUGCGUACCGAAAAUUAGUAGGGAAGUCGGUUAGGGAGCCGUCAAGAAAAGCCGCUAUUGUGUUAUAUGUACCCGUACCGCAAACCGACACAGGUAGAUGAGGAGAGAAUCCUAAGGCCGGCGGGAGAAGCAUUGUUAAGGAACUCGGCAAAAUGACCCCGUAACUUCGGGAGAAGGGGUGCCACUUUAAUAGAGUGGUCGCAGAAAAAAGGCUCAAGCAACUGUUUAGCAAAAACACAGGUCUAUGCGAAACCGUAAGGUGAAGUAUAUGGGCUGACGCCUGCCCGGUGCCGGAAGGUUAAGAGGAGAAGUCAGGAAACGAAGCUUUGAAUUGAAGCCCCGGUAAACGGCGGCCGUAACUAUAACGGUCCUAAGGUAGCGAAAUUCCUUGUCGGGUAAGUUCCGACCCGCACGAAAGGCGUAAUGAUUUGAGCGCUGUCUCAACAAUGCACCCGGUGAAAUUGAAGUACCAGUGAAGAUGCUGGU
rnacentral:rRNA from 1 species